GACAGAGGAGGCAAGCGUUGUCCGGACUGACUGGGCGUAAAGCGCGCGCAGGCGGAUAUGGGCGUCGGUGCUGAAAGACCACCGCUUAACGGUGGCUCGCGUGCCGAUACGCCAUAUCUGGAGGGCGGGCGAGGGCGGUGGAAUUGCCGGUGUAGUGGUGAAAUGCGUAGAUAUCUGGAGGAAUACCGGUGGCGAAGGCGGCAUCCUGGACCGAGAUUGACGCUGAUGAGCGAAAGCUAGGGGAGCAAACGGG
rnacentral:rRNA from 1 species